rnacentral:lncRNA from 1 species
UUUCUGUGCUGUUAGUCUGAAGUACUAUUACACAUGCAAUAUCAAUUUUUGCAUUUUCUGUUGUUUUUGUGCAUAAGUGUGUGUGGCUGGAAGCAGAUGGAUUUAUUGCCUGAUAUUAUAUGGCAACGAAGUAAAAUAUUCAUCAAGAUGCACAGGACAAGACAAUAAAGAUUCAAGAGAUUUCAUUUAACUCUGAAGAUUUCUGGGGUCAUGGAAGAUGUAACAGCUCUGAAAUGGCUUCCCAUAUUCUGAAAUGGAAAAUGAUGGCAUGUAGUUCUUCAUUUGGAAACGUAGACUUGUUAAAGUUUGCAUUCUGCAAAAUUAUGUUCUGUGAAUUGACAGGAAUCAAGAAUCUGCUCCCAGUAACUUCAGUCUUAUUGGAGUCUGAUCCUCGAUGGGGAAAGAACUGAUAAAAUUUCCCAGCACUUCUUCAUGUUAGAGUGAUAAGAAAACAUCACAGCAGACUACUGAUAGUGACAAAAAGGCAUGAGAUUUAAGGAAGCACCUACAAGUUAUGAUAAUUUAAGUGGAGAACACUGCAAAGUGACAAAUUAUCUUCAAAGAGCCAUCAGUGUGCACAGACUGAUGAAGGAGUCUAACUUGCUUGAAGGGAUGAAUGGGAGCUGAUCCACUAAUGAAGACAGCAGGAUCUAGAAUUCAUUGCAAGCUGCCUUAUCUAGAUGCCAAAGUAAAAAAUAAUAAUUUCCUCAUUGCUCUGUACUGGCAGAUCACUAACAAUUGUUAAGUACCACUACUAGAAGGAUUGCUGGCCUUAUCCUCUUAUUCACAGAUAGAGUGAAAUCUUUCUAGUAUGUCACCUUGAACCUCAGUUCAGUUUUGAACAUACUGUAUCACCUACCUUUGGAGAUUAGUUGUUCUGCUAAAAGGGAAGUUAUUUGUCCAUUAGCAAUAUCAGCAGCUGUUUUUGGCAAACAACUCUAGCAAAGUGAAAAUGAAAAUAUAGAUCAUAUUUCCUUUCUUUGGCUUUGCAUAUAUGAUCAAAUUUAAACCAAAUUUUACCAUUAUGACAGUAAAUAACGAAUUAAUCUGGAAAUCUGAAAGUGAAAGAAAUUGUUAGUUUUCUUUAUGGUCCCCUUUUGAAUUAACUUCAGAGCCAUUUCUGGAUUAAUUCAUUUAUUGCGCAGAAUGGAGGGUAUUGCAGAUAAACAAUUUUUACUCCCUGUUUGGUAAUUAAUGUGUAUCUGUGUUUUGAAAAUUAAGUCCUUGAGGGCCAUUUGAAAAGCAGAAAAAAAUGUGUAUCGAAAAAACCACUUGUUUCUGGGCCAUGUUAUACAUACACAUUGGAUUGUACUUUCCAUACUCCCUUUUGUCUUAAUUUUGCCCAGUUAUGAGAUACUGAAGUCUAAACUCUAAGGCUGAGACAUGUAAAGUCACAUAUUCCAUUUUCAG